CGGGGUGAGUAAUGUCUGGGAAACUGCCUGAUGGAGGGGGAUAACUGCUGGAAACGGUAGCUAAUACCGCAUAACGUCGCAAGACCAAAGAGGGGGACCUUCGGGCCUCUUGCCAUCGGAUGUGCCCAGAUGGGAUUAGCUAGUAGGUGGGGUAACGGCUCACCCAGGCGACGAUCCCUAGCUGGUCUGAGAGGAUGACCAGCCACACUGGAACUGAGACACGGUCCAG
rnacentral:rRNA from 1 species